CGGGACGGGUGAGUAAUGUCUGGGAAACUAGCCUGAUGGAGGGGGGUAACUACUGGAAACGGUAGCUAAUACCGCAUAACGUCGCAAGACCAAAGAGGGGGACCGUUCGGGCCUCUUGCCAUCGGAUGUGCCCAGAUGGGAUUAGCUAGUAGGUGGGGUAACGGCUCACCUAGGCGACGAUCCCUAGCUGGUCUGAGAGGAUGACCAGCCACACUGGAACUGAGACACGGUCCAG
rnacentral:rRNA from 1 species